CUAAGUUUAACUCAAAUUAAUAUUCAUUGUACAAAUCACUAUGUUACUCCUAUGGUUUUUUUCCUUAGUACUAGUACUUACUAUAAAUUGGUAUUUCAUAUUUACAUGUUGCAGACUAUUGCUUCAGCAAUGGCUAUAUUAACGACAUUAUUUCGCAUCCCUACAAGUUCGACGGAGUAGACAUAGCUUUGCACUAUGUGUCUUUUCUAAGGCUGUGAUAUUUUAUGAUUCUCAUUUGUGGCAAUUAGUGGUAAAAUAAAUAGAGACACACUCUGCCUCCUUAUGAAGGUUCACGGGGCUUUUUUUGUUCAGAUUUAUAAGGCCAGAGAAUAUUCCUCUUGAAUAUGGAGGAUUGAUUCAACCCACAGAUUUUAAGAAUGGUCCCCCUCAACCAUCUUUUAAGUUAUAACUGUUGAAGGAGGAUAAAAAGCUAACAUACAAAUAGAAGGAAUUGAGGUUACAAGUAUAGGUUUAGUGUUUAAGUAUAAUUUUGUACCUUUGUCUUUCUAAUUUAUGCUUC